UGGGGAAUAUUGGACAAUGGGCGAAAGCCUGAUCCAGCCAUGCCGCGUGUGUGAAGAAGGUCUUCGGAUUGUAAAGCACUCUAAGUUGGGAGGAAGGGCAUUAACCUAAUACGUUAGUGUUUUGACGUUACCGACAGAAUAAGCACCGGCUAACUCUGUGCCAGCAGCCGCGGUAAUACAGAGGGUGCAAGCGUUAAUCGGAAUUACUGGGCGUAAAGCGCGCGUAGGUGGUUUGUUAAGUUGGAUGUGAAAUCCCCGGGCUCAACCUGGGAACUGCAUUCAAAACUGACUGACUAGAGUAUGGUAGAGGGUGGUGGAAUUUCCUGUGUAGCGGUGAAAUGCGUAGAUAUAGGAAGGAACACCAGUGGCGAAGGCGACCACCUGGACUAAUACUGACACUGAGGUGCGAAAGCGUGGGGAGCAAACA
rnacentral:rRNA from 1 species